NNNNNNNNCUGGCAGGGGAGAACCAUGAUCAUGAAGGUGGUUUGCCCAGGGCGAGGCUUAUCCAUUGUACUCCGGACACGCUGACCCCUGUGAUCUCCCCAAAUGUGGGAAAUUCAACUACAUAAUUUGUGGUAGUUGGAGACUGCAUUCACGCUCUCCCCUG
rnacentral:snRNA from 1 species